AUUGAACGCUGGCGGCAGGCCUAACACAUGCAAGUCGAACGAGUGGCGGACGGGUGAGUAAUGUCUGGGAAACUGCCUGAUGGUGGGGGAUAACUACUGGAAACGGUAGCUAAUACCGCAUACCAUCGGAUGUGCCCAGAGGGGAUGAGCUAGGAGGUGGGGUAAAGGCUCACCUAGGAGACGAUCCCUAGCUGGUCUGAGAGGAUGACCGGCCACACUGGAACGGAGACACGGUCCAUACUCCUACGGAAGGCAGCAGUGGGGAAUAUUGCACAAUGGGCGCAAGCCUGAUGCAGCCAUGCCGCGUGUAUGAUGAAGGCCUUCGGGUUGUAAAGUACUUUCAGCGGGGAGGCGUUACCCGCAGAGGAAGCACCGGCUAACUCCGUGCCAGCCGCCGCGGUAAUUC
rnacentral:rRNA from 1 species